rnacentral:rRNA from 1 species
GACGAACGCUGGCGGCGUGCCUAAUACAUGCAAGUCGGACGCUGAAGUGAGGAGCUUGCUCUUCUUGGAUGAGUUGCGAACGGGUGAGUAACGCGUAGGUAACCUGCCUAGUAGCGUGGGAUAACUAUUGGAAACGAUAGCUAAUACCGCAUAAUAUUGUUUAUUGCAUGAUACUUAAUUGAAAGAUGCAACUGCAUCACUACCUGAUGGACCUGCGUUGUAUUUGCUAGUUGGUGAGGUAACGGCUCACCAAGGCGACGAUACAUAGCCGAACUGAGCGGGGGGUCGGACAAAAUGGGACUGAGACACGGGCCAGAACUCCUCGGGGGGCAGCAGUAGGGAAACUUAGGAAAUGGGGGGAACCCUGAACGGGCAACGCCGCGGGAGGGAAGAAGGGUGUCGGAUCGGAAAGAUCGGUUGUAAGAGAAGAAAGGGGGUGAGAGUGGAAAGUUCACACUGUGACGGUACCUUAUCAGAAAGGGACGGCUAACUACGUG